rnacentral:rRNA from 1 species
GACGAACGCUGGCGGCGUGCUUAACACAUGCAAGUCGAACGGAAGGGCCCUGCUUUUGUGGGGUGCUCGAGUGGCGAACGGGUGAGUAACACGUGAGUAACCUGCCCUUGACUUUGGGAUAACUUCAGGAAACUGGGGCUAAUACCGGAUAGGAGCUCCUGCUGCAUGGUGGGGGUUGGAAAGUUUCGGCGGUUGGGGAUGGACUCGCGGCUUAUCAGCUUGUUGGUGGGGUAGUGGCUUACCAAGGCUUUGACGGGUAGCCGGCCUGAGAGGGUGACCGGCCACAUUGGGACUGAGAUACGGCCCAGACUCCUACGGGAGGCAGCAGUGGGGAAUAUUGCACAAUGGGCGGAAGCCUAAUGCAGCAACGCCGCGUGCGGGAUGACGGCCUUCGGGUUGUAAACCGCUUUCGCCUGUGACGAAGCGUGAGUGACGGUAAUGGGUAAAGAAGCACCGGCUAACUCCGUG